rnacentral:hammerhead_ribozyme from 1 species
AUCCAGCUGAUGAGUCGCAAAUAGGACGAAACGCGCGUCAAACUGGAU